GACGAACGCUGGCGGCGUGCUUAACACAUGCAAGUCGAACGGAAAGGCCCUGCUUUUGUGUGGUGCUCGAGUGGCGAACGGGUGAGUAACACGUGAGUAACCUGCCCUUGACUUUGGGAUAACUUCAGGAAACUGGGGCUAAUACCGGAUAGGAGCUCCUGCUGCAUGGUGGGGGUUGGAAAGUUUCGGCGGUUGGGGAUGGACUCGCGGCUUAUCAGCUUGUUGGUGGGGUAGUGGCUUACCAAGGCUUUGACGGGUAGCCGGCCUGAGAGGGUGACCGGCCACAUUGGGACUGAGAUACGGCCCAGACUGCUACGGGAGGCAGAAGUGGGGAAUAUUGCACAAUGGGCGGAAGCCUGAUGCAGCAACGCCGCGUGCGGGAUGACGGCCUUCGGGUUGUAAACCGCUUUCGCCUGUGACGAAGCGUGAGUGACGGUAAUGGGUAAAGAAGCACCGGCUAACUACGUG
rnacentral:rRNA from 1 species